GAAAUAAUAACCAAAAAAAGUUUCUAACUUUAUUUUAAAGCGUUAAAUACGUUUUUAUUUCA
rnacentral:tRNA from 1 species